rnacentral:rRNA from 1 species
AUUGAACGCUGGCGGCAGGCCUAACACAUGCAAGUCGAGCGGUAGAGAGAAGCUUGCUUCUCUUGAGAGCGGCGGACGGGUGAGUAAUGCCUAGGAAUCUGCCUGGUAGUGGGGGAUAACGUUCGGAAACGGACGCUAAUACCGCAUACGUCCUACGGGAGAAAGCAGGGGACCUUCGGGCCUUGCGCUAUCAGAUGAGCCUAGGUCGGAUUAGCUAGUUGGUGAGGUAAUGGCUCACCAAGGCGACGAUCCGUAACUGGUCUGAGAGGAUGGUCAGUCACACUGGAACUGAGACACGGUCCAGACUCCUACGGGAGGCAGCAGUGGGGAAUAUUGGACAAUGGGCGAAAGCCUGAUCCAGCCAUGCCGCGUGUGUGAAGAAGGUCUUCGGAUUGUAAAGCACUUUAAGUUGGGAGGAAGGGCAGUUACCUAAUACGUGAUUGUUUGACGUUACCGACAGAAUAAGCACCGGCUAACUCUGUGCCAGCAGCCGCGGUAAUC